CUACGGGCGGCUGCAGUGGGGAAUAUUGCACAAUGGGCGCAAGCCUGAUGCAGCCAUGCCGCGUGUAUGAAGAAGGCCUUCGGGUUGUAAAGUACUUUCAGCGGGGAGGAAGGGAGUAAAGUUAAUACCUUUGCUCAUUGACGUUACCCGCAGAAGAAGCACCGGCUAACUCCGUGCCAGCAGCCGCGGUAAUACGGAGGGUGCAAGCGAUAAUCGGAAUUACUGGGCGUAAAGCGCACGCAGGCGGUUUGUUAAGUCAGAUGUGAAAUCCCCGGGCUCAACCUGGGAACUGCAUCUGAUACUGGCAAGCUUGAGUCUCGUAGAGGGGGGUAGAAUUCCAGGUGUAGCGGUGAUAUGCGUAGAGAUCUGGAGGAAUACCGGUGGCGAAGGCGGCCCCCUGGACGAAGACUGACGCUCAGGUGCGAAAGCGUGGGGAGCAAACAGGAUUAGAUACCCGCGUAGUC
rnacentral:rRNA from 1 species